GCUUAACACAUGCAAGUCGAGCGGUAAGGCCCUUCGGGGUACACGAGCGGCGAACGGGUGAGUAACACGUGGGUGAUCUGCCUUGCACUUCGGGAUAAGCCUGGGAAACCGGGUCUAAUACCGGAUAUGACCACGAGAUGCAUGUCUUGUGGUGGAAAGAUUUAUCGGUGCGAGAUGGGCCCGCGGCCUAUCAGCUUGUUGGUGAGGUAACGGCUCACCAAGGCGACGACGGGUAGCCGACCUGAGAGGGUGACCGGCCACACUGGGACUGAGACACGGCCCAGACUCCUACGGGAGGCAGCAGUGGGGAAUAUUGCACAAUGGGCGAAAGCCUGAUGCAGCGACGCCGCGUGCGGGAUGACGGCCUUCGGGUUGUAAACCGCUUUUGACAGGGACGAAGCGCAAGUGACUGUACCUGUAGAAUAAGGACCGGCCAACUACGUGCCAGCAGCCGCGGUAAUACGUAGGGUCCGAGCGUUGUCCGGAAUUACUGGGCGUAAAGAGCUUGUAGGCGGUUCGUCGCGUCGUUUGUGAAAACUUGGGGCUCAACCUUAAGCUUGCAGGCGAUACGGGCGGACUAGAGUACUUCAGGGGAGACUGGAAUUC
rnacentral:rRNA from 1 species